rnacentral:rRNA from 1 species
CCUACGGGAGGCAGCAGUGGGGAAUAUUGCACAAUGGGGGGAACCCUGAUGCAGCGACGCCGCGUGGGUGAAGGAGUCUUUCGGUAUGUAAAGCCCUAUCAGCAGGGGAGAAAAAUGACAGUACCUGACUAAGAAGCACCGACUAAAUACGUGCCAGCCGCCGCGGUAAUACGUGGGUGCAAGCGUUAUCCGGAUUUACCGGGUGUAAAGGGAGCGCAGGCGGAGCGUUAAGCCUGGUGUGAAAGCCCGGGGCUCAACCGAGGGGCUGCGUUGGGAACUGGCGCGCUUGAGUGCCGGAGGGGUAGGCGGAAUUCCUAGUGUAGCGGUGAAAUGCGUAGAGAUUAGGAGGAACACCAGUGGCGAAGGCGGCCUACUGGACGGUGACUGACGCUGAGGCUCGAAAGCGUGGGGAGCAAACAGGAUUAGAUACCCUAGUAGUC